GACGAACGCUGGCGGCGUGCUUAACACAUGCAAGUCGAACGAAGAGCGAUGGAAGCUUGCUUCUAUCAAUCUUAGUGGCGAACGGGUGAGUAACGCGUAAUCAACCUGCCCUUCAGAGGGGGACAACAGUUGGAAACGACUGCUAAUACCGCAUACGAUCUAAUCUCGGCAUCGAGGAUAGAUGAAAGGUGGCCUCUACAUGUAAGCCAACACUGAAGGAGGGGAUUGCGUCUGAUUAGCUAGGUGGAGGGGUAACGGCCCACCAAGGCGAUGAUCAGUAGCCGGUCUGAGAGGAUGAACGGCCACAUUGGGACUGAGACACGGCCCAGACUCCUACGGGAGGCAGCAGUGGGGAAUCUUCCGCAAUGGACGAAAGUCUGACGGAGCAACGCCGCGUGAGUGAUGACGGCCUUCGGGUUGUAAAGCUCUGUUAAUCGGGACGAAAGGCCUUCUUGCGAAUAGUGAGAAGGAUUGACGGUACCGGAAUAGAAAGCCACGGCUAACUACGUG
rnacentral:rRNA from 1 species